rnacentral:rRNA from 1 species
UACGUAGGGGGGCUAGCGUUGUCCGGAUUUAUUGGGCGUAAAGAGCUCGUAGGUGGUUCGGUUAGUCGGAUGUGAAAUCUCCAGGCUCAACCUGGAGGGGUCAUUCGAUACUGCCGUGACUAGAGUUCGGUAGAGGAGUGUGGAAUUCCUGGUGGAGCGGUGAAAUGCGCAGAGAUCAGGAGGAACACCCGUAGCGAAGGCGGCACUCUGGGCCGAUACUGACACUGAGGCACGAAAGCGUGGGGAGCAAACAGG